rnacentral:rRNA from 1 species
UACGGGGGGGUCAAGCGUUGUUCGGAAUUACUGGGCGUAAAGGGCUCGUAGGCGGCCAACUAAGUCAGACGUGAAAUCCCUCGGCUUAACCGGGGAACUGCGUCUGAUACUGGAUGGCUUGAAUCCGGGAGAGGGAUGCGGAAUUCCAGGUGUAGCGGUGAAAUGCGUAGAUAUCUGGAGGAACACCGGUGGCGAAGGCGGCAUCCUGGACCGGCAUUGACGCUGAGGAGCGAAAGCCAGGGGAGCAAACGGG